CGAGAUGUGGGUGAGAAUCCCACAGGCCGUAAACCCAAGGUUUCCAGGGGAAGGUUCGUCCGCCCUGGGUUAGUCGGGACCUAAGCUGAGGCCGAAAGGCGUAGGUGAUGGACAACAGGUUGAUAUUCCUGUACUACCGAUAACCAUUUGAGAGAAGGGAUGACACAGUAGGAUAAGCUAAGCACACUGUUGGUUAUGUGUGCCCAAGCAUUGAGGCAGUCAAAGUAGGCAAAUCCGCUUUGAUAAUGCUGGG
rnacentral:rRNA from 1 species